rnacentral:lncRNA from 1 species
CUUGAGUGGAGAGGCCAAGGUCCUGGCAUGCAUGCCUUGGAAGGAUAAAUGGGCCCACUUUUGCUGUGUAUCAUUUAAUGGGUGUAAGCUGGCAACCUGACAUUCCUUUCUUCUUUCAGCCAUCCUGGUACAUACACUGCUUCCUGUUUAGCUUAUGCGAGGAAAUAAAUCGGGUCGGAGGCCACACGCUGCCAAAGGUGACACUGCAGGAGAUGCUGAAAAGCUGCAUGGUUCAAGUAGUCUCUGCUUAUGAGAAACUUUCAGAAGGAAAGCAGACGAAGAAAGAAGGUGCAUUUCCACUGACCCAGAAUUGGGUGCUGCAGCUCCUCUAUGACCUGCGCUACCUCAGCGUUGUCCUCACUACCAAGCAGGAGGUGAAGAGUGGUCACAGCAGGCCGGACUCCAGGUACUGUAUCUCUUCUGGAAUCUCCAACUUGGUCUUUUCCCGGUGCAGAUAGGGACACUCCGUGCUCAUGAGGAAAACUGCCUUUCACAUAUGGGGCUUUUCGUGGGCUGGUGACAUGCAUUGUGAUCCUCUUUCAAAAUGCUGGUGAGCAUCAGGCCACAGUUCCAGGGCAGCCCUGCAGUCAGAAGGGGAACCCCCCACCCUCUACAGUGGUUGCUGGUGCUAGGUUUCGGUGCUCAGGUCUAGUUUACAGUAUUUUGAAUUUACAGUGGUUUGUUGGGACAUGACCCCAUCAUAAGCCGAGGAGCAUCUGUAUCCCUCUUCUGGGUUGCCCCCAAAGGGAAGAGCCAACCUAUUCCUGAACAUUUAAUAGGUUUGUCCUACACUGUGAGGGUUCAUACCAUAUUUCCCUGAAAAUAAGACCAGGUUGUAUAUUAAUUUUUGCUCCAAAAGACCAGACAGGGCUUAUUUUCAGAUGAUGUCUUAUUUUUCCAUGUACAAACAUCUAUAUUCAUAUACAGCCAUCUACAUCUAUUCAUGUAUAAAAAUCUACAUUUACUCUUAU